UCCUGGAAGAAUGCUCACAACUCAGCUUGAAUUUGUAAGUUAAUUGUCCUCUCAGAUGCACCCCUCUUGAUGUUUUAUAUGUUUCAACAUGGAUUCUUGGUUCCUAUAAAUUUACAGGUUAUGAUGUUGUGAUGAACUUGCAGCAAUGAAGUGAUUUGGGUAACAUCUUGCUUUUUAAACUGACUUUCAUUUACUUCUGUGGCAUUGAAGGAGCGACACAAUUCCUCCCAACUACAGAAUUUGCAGCGGCUGAAGAUUCUAGAAGUACAGAGAUAAAAUGCUUCAUGUGAUGAGUGGUGUAAUUAAAUUGGAGAGAAACAUGAAGAAGUUUGAUGGCACCCAUUCUUAGGUUGAAAAUUGAAUGUCCGAUCCAUUACUUGCUCUUUUUUGCUUUAUCACUUUAUUAUGUAGUUCCUGAUUUUGGAAGAUGUAUUAUCUGGUCAUCGCUUGCAUUUGACUACAUUUGUGCGAUUUGUAAUGUAAUUCAUCCAGUAUACGGGUUAUACAUUUGGUAGCAAAUUUGAAUUUUCUUGGAUAUACAUAUAUCUGAUUUAUUCAUUUGGUUUAGAGUCCAA